rfam:Ricinus communis cultivar Hale ctg_1100012360278, whole genome shotgun sequence.
AGUCCAUGGUGUGGGCAUCGUCUAAGUAGGUCCUUGUAUCUCUUCCAGGUGUUGUACAAUAACUCAUCAUCAAACUGUACAAAAGAAGAUAUGUCAUUUCUAAGUUU